rnacentral:rRNA from 1 species
AUUGAACGCUGGCGGCAGGCCUAACACAUGCAAGUCGAGCGGAGCGGCGGACGGGUGAGUAAUGCCUAGGAAUCUGACUGGUAGUGGGGGAUAACGUCCGGAAACGGGCGCUAAUACCACAUACUAUCAGAUGAGACUAGGUCGGAUUAGCUAGUUGGUGGGGGAAAGGCCUACCAAGGCGACGAUCCGUAACUGGUCUGAGAGGAUGAUCAGUCACACUGGAACUGAGACACGGUCCAGAAUCCGACGGUAGGCAGCAGUGGGGAAUAUUGGACAAUGGGCGAAAGCCUGACCCAGCCAUGCCGCGUGUGUGAAGAAGGUCUUCGGAUUGUAAAGCACUUUAAGUUGGGAGGCGUUACCAAAAGAAUAAGCACCGGCUAACUUCGUGCCAGCAGCCGCGGUAAUAC